GUGCUUGCUUUGGCAGCACAAGUACUAAAAUUGGAACAAUACAGAGAAGAUUAACAUGGCCCCCACACAAGGAUGACAUGCAAAUUUGAGAAGAGGAAAACAACUCAUUUAU